GAAGGCGGAUAGGCUGACACCAGGAGUGAGCAGAACAAGGGGGGAGAGCGAAUGAGGAGGCAGACAGGAAUAACGAAAAGAAGAACAACAUGAAGAAUAACUUAAAACUGUCUAAAGAUGUGGCCUUGCUUAGCCCGUCUCUCAGCCCGAAACAGGUCCAUGUUAAGUUCUUACAAGAAUACCCACCCCGCUCGCAUCAGUCUCAAAGGGACCGCUUAACUCACCAUCCCAAGAGGAUCAGGAGGACUGGUUGUAGUUUGUGGUUCUAUCUAGAUUGAUCUCUAAUCCUGAGGACUCCGAAGACAACAGAGCGGUAAACACGCUAGCAACUAGCACCUGACAAUCGAGCUAAGUCCCGUCCACCGAAGCUGGAUUUCUUGUGGCUUUAACAGUAUUCAAGGAUGAUUGACAGCGGGUCUGACCAAUCCCAUCAGGGGAACCCCACUUGCCUAACUGGGGCCUAGUUGGCGCCAAAAGUGAAAACCGAACACGCGAAAUGAUCUGUGAUCAAUACAUUUCCCAAAGUUUGGGUAAUUCUCUAUGGAACAUUGGCAAGGUUGUUUCGUGCCAAGACUGGCACAGUUCCUGCGCUAACACCACUGGGUAGUAGUGAAAGUUCUGACUCUCCCUGGGGUCUCCUCAACACCAUCCCAGUGCGGAGGGUGGGGGGCGCCAGGCUCCCCACGUGAGCGGGGACAGGUGGGAGAAGCGGGAUGGCAGCCUCCAGGUAGCCUGCCCAGGCUGAUGUGGAUGAGGGGUGGGGCGCAGUUUUUCCAUGGCAUUUGGCUAGACUGUAUCACUUACAUAAAAUGUUCUGUAGUGCUAGGUUGCCCCUUUUCUGAUCCUUUGUCUAGAGAGAGAAGAAUUUUGAGGGUCCUUAUUUGUCUGUGCCGGUUGGCGUUUCACACAUAUCUUUUCCCAAUAUUGUGAAUGGGGUGCUGCUUUUUCCUGUUUCUGUUUCUAGUAUUGCUAGAUAAAAGAACGCUAUUGGAGUAGAAGAAUAGAUUGUUAGUUCUAAAAUCUAUGUGAUGGGUAUAUUGAUGUUCACUGUGAAAUUUUUUCAACUUUUCUUUAUAAACUUUGAAACUAUAUAAUAAAUGUUGGAAAAUAAAACAAAA